CCUGGAGCUUAUUCGUAUUCUUCCACUACAGACACAAGAUGAGGAGAUGGAGGCUCGGAACAGAAAGGUCUAUAAUGGUGGUGGAACCACUCUCCCUGUGUUUUCCGAAAAUCAUUCUGCGCUCCUCUGGCGGGAGAUAAGUGUUUGCUACAGAGUCACCUCCGUUUGACGUUCCCUGAAUAUCUUCCGACCGGCACUGCGUAUCUUCCGACAGCCCCUGAAUGUCCUCAUGCAUAGCCAUCUCUCUGCAUGGGGUCCCCUCACUCGUUUCACUUCCCCUCCGGGGGAGCGUCCCUGCUAUGCAUGUGUCCGUGCUCACACGAUGCUUUGGCGGGUCUUAUUGGGAAUACUUAUUCAUCUACGUAUUUCUUUCGUCUUCCAAGAAGAAACACACACGCUGUGACUCUGCCUUCCCCCGCCUAGGCCAUACACACAGCUCCCAUUAUGUGUCAGACUUGGACGGCGAACAGCUGCCAUCUUUUCAUCGUUGGUUUGCAAGAAGAAGUUUUGCUUCCUAUUGAUCUACUGUAUAUCUCGAGACAUAAGAAGUUAUGUCCUGCUGUCUAUUGGUCUAUAUCUCGAGACAUAAGAAUGUCUUGUUUCCUAUUGGUCUAUAUUUUGAGACAUUAGAAGCUAUGUCCUGUUUCCUAUUGGUCUAUAUUUUGAGACAUUAGAAGCUAUGUCCUGUUUCCUAUGGGUCUACAUCACAACACAUUAGGAUCUCAGUAAUGCUUCCUAAAUCACUGGACAUUAGCGUGUGGGGAACUAAUCACCAAGGCCCGUAUUCUGUGGCUCAUCAGCUUUUGAGGGUCCAUUCACUAUUAGGAAAAAAAAUUUUGCUGGAGGUGUUUCACAUGAUGUGUGCACGCUCAAAUCCGCCAUCUUGGUCGUCUUUUCACUGUUAAUGUAUCCAUCUAUUGAUCUACAAUACAAUUAUGGAAUAUUGACAGCUGGUUCCUUGCUAAUUUUCUGCCUUUAUAAAUAUCAUUCUAGAGGUAUUAUUUCAGAAAUUUCCAUUUGCAAUUUUUGGUAUUCACUUUUGGAAUUUCAUGUAACAUGAUUAACAAUCUGUGGUGGAGACAAUCUAUCCCCCCAUGGUACCUCCUACUCCUCAACCUCCCCACCUCUUCCUCCCCCUCCUCCUCCACCUCCU
ensembl:lncRNA